UGAGAGCUAAAGGGUUUUGGAGGUAUUCUCAGCUUCCUGAGCUGAGAGCUGAUGGGUGCUCAAUUUGUUCUGUGUUGUUCUUCACCAUUGCUCUUAA